UUGGAUCUGAGGGCUUUGUCGGACUCUCUCGAGGUCGACUCCCUUUAAAAUCAUUAGCGGAUUUUGCCAUCGUGGAUACGCCUCGAUUUGAUAAUAUCUAUGUCGUCGCGCUGAAGCGGUAAUCUGCUCCUAACCGUCCUUACAUGGGACAAUUUUGACUAUUUGACCUCAAAUCAGGUAGGACUACCCGCUGAACUUAG
rnacentral:misc_RNA from 1 species